CCCUGGCUUAUUUUUUAUUCUUCAUGCAAACAUCUGUAUCACAAACUUGGAUCCCCUGCUUAUAACUAGCAGGCAUAUACUUCAGUUACUUAUGAAGAUGCCCUUCUUAGCUCUUCUAGAAGGCGUCUAGGCUGACUCCAUGACAGACUUCAAAUUGGCAGUACAGGAGACAUGCCCAGGGCGUUUGAUUUUGCAAGGCUCCUUUGCAGAUGGGAAAGCAGGACUUCAAAGGCAAAAGAAGAGAGCAGCCUGCAAUAGAGGAUCUAGUAGCUAAGGAGAUCGCCAACCAGCAACCAGCUAACAGCAGCAGCAGCAGCAGAAACCAUCUGUAACUGGCUAAGUCACGCCCCUGCCAG